UGUUUCUUGACUAUCUUAUGAGAAAUAAGAUCUGCCCAAUGAUUUUAAUUUAAUGGCCGCAGUAUCUUGACUGUGCAAAGGUAGCAUGAUCAGUUGGCUUUUAAUUGAGGUCUCGUAUGAAUGAUUUAAUGUAAAAUUAGCUGUUUUUAAGUAAAAAUUGAAUUUUUAAGCUAGGUGAAGAUACUUAGGUAAAAUUAAAAGACGAGAAGACCCCGUCAAGUUUCAUACCUUAUGUUUUUAUUUGUGAUUAAUUUUAUUGAUUUUGGGUAUUUAGUUGGGGCAACUAUAAAAUAGAAAACUUUUAUUAAAUUUUAAUAAUUUUGAUUAGAUUUUUAAUGAUCCAUAAUUUUGAUUACCAGAUUAAAUUACUGCGGGGAUAACAGCGUAAUUUUUCUAUAGAGUUCUUAUCGAUGGAAAAGAUUGCGACCUCGAUGUUGGAUUAAGAUUCCCUCUGAUGCAGGAGUUAAGUUGGGUGGUCUG
rnacentral:rRNA from 1 species